AAUUCUCUAACUUAAGUUUGCCUCACCAAAUGUUAUGAAACUUAUACACAAUGCUUAUUCAAUAAUAUACAGAUCAAGUUUGAACUUUGGCAGAGUAACUCUAACCUCUUCGAGUUGUGCCCUUUUAUACAUGGAAAAAUUCCAAAAUUUUUUUUAGUUUCUGUUCUCUAACAGUUUGCCACGAACAAAUUUUAUAAAACUAGUGCACAAUGCUUACUACUACAAAACACAGAUCAAGUCUGAAUUUUGGUGGUGUCACAUUAACCAUUCUAGAGUUGUGCUCCUUUAUAAAUGAAAUUAUUGCAAAAUUUUUAGUUUCUGUUCUCAAACGAGUUUGCCUCAACCAAACAUUAUGAAACCUAUACACAGUGCUUACAACAUCAAAACAUAGAUCAAGUACAAAUUUAGUACUUUUAUCGUUCUUGAGUUAUGUCCCUUUAUAAUGUAUUUAUAUGGGGGCAUCAUCUGUGUCCAUGAGGACACAUUUUCC
rnacentral:lncRNA from 1 species